rnacentral:misc_RNA from 1 species
UUUUUAAAAGCUAUGAGACUUUUACAAUGAUGUUUGACAAGCAUAUGUCUGAGAAUUUUGAUGUCACAAUAUUUACCCUGAUUUAAAUUUGUUGAUACCCACAAUUUACGUUUUUAUAUUGAUAGUCUUGUAAUACGGUGAACAACAAUUUUUCAGUGACUGAUCAUUGGAGAAUGAGCGGAAAUCGGGUUUCCACCCGAGAAUGCUUGAAGGUGUAUGGCGGAAAGGUACCGACUUGAUGCCAAAGAUCUAUGGUGGAAGGGUGACAACCACUUGAAGCACCUGCUUGAGUCACAAAAGUUUUUUGUUCUCAAUUCCAGAAUAAGGCAAAUAUCGGCAGAGCAUGCGACUAUUGGAGCUCUCUUCAAUGAUAAUUUCCGGUGACCGUAUUACCCUAGCGAACGAUUACUCUGGAGUAUCUCCGGAUGGUGUAGGAUUGGACGUGAAGGCGAACUGGAGUUGUACAGAAUGUAAGCAUCAAUUUGUUCAAGUAUAAUUUUCAUAAUAUAACACCCUCAUAAAUACUUAUCAAUAUCAAAUCACAUGAAGGUUUUACAAAGUGACAUUAUUACCCAUCUAAAAAUCGAAUGAUAUUAUUGUGCUUGAGAUGAAUAAAGUAGUAAAGUAGAAAAAUACGAACAAAGUGAAUGAAUAUUAAACAUCCCAUUAUCAACCAGAUUGUAAAUUUCGAUAAGUAUCGACGUGUUCUUGAUUAAUUCUCAUCAAUGCUGUCAUGAUGACGUAAUAUACGCAAUGAAUAAACGUGAAAACAAAAUAUUUACUGAAUUUUUUUUGAAACUUGAAAAUUUAUUGAUUCGCCGAUAACGCGCAUUAACAAAUAUGUUUGGGUAGUUUGUACUAGCUCAAGCAAUUUUGAUGAAUGUGGAAGCGCACCAUCCGACUUGACGUUUGAAGAGAUCUGAACCUCAAUGUGCAUUGGGGAAAUUCAUUAGAAUAUCCUAAUUGUAAAUCCUUUUAUAAAUAACCAAUAACCAACGGAAUAAAACGAUAUGUAUAAAAAUUCUGUGACUGAAUCCUUUGUCCAAAAAAUAAAAACAUUCAUAAGACUGAAAAUGGUAACAUUUGACAAAAACCUUUGUACGUUGUGUCGGAAAAGCGCCUCAUUGUAACAGAGAAUUGGUCAGUCAAUACCCAAAUUUAAAAUUCGAGUACUUAACAAUAUUAUGAAUAACACAUGAGAAGCGGAAGAUGAAAUAAUACACCCAUCACCAUUUGAUGAAUAAUUUAAUUGUCAACGUCGAAAAUACAAGAUGUGCUCUAAAAUUAUGUACAAUUAUCUUGACGCCACGAUCUAACGUACAGUAUCAAUUCGUCGCACAUGCUAAUUGACGCUAAAACCGAUUACCUUCAAAAACUAUAACAUCACUCCAUCGUGAUAUUGUAACGGAUAUAAUUUAGGUACAAUAA